GGAUUGUAAAGAAAAGGAUUCUUGUGUCGGCCCAACACGACAAUCGAAUCGAUCAACAUGAAACCCUCAAGAAACUCCCUACCCUAAAAAUUAUUGUGGCCAAAGAAAACCCCUUAAUAUCUCUUAUAUGAUCAUUAUUAAAAACAAAUAUCAGUUAUUUGAUUUUCUGGCCACAUAAUGGGAAAUUGUGUGUUCAAAGGGUUUGGAGAGUCGGAUAUUGAUGCGGUCAAAGUCAAAGUUGUGACGUCAAGCGGUGGUAUAAUGGAGCUGUAUGCUCCCAUAGCGGUUAGCUCCAUUACCGACGAGUUCCCUGGCCACGCCAUAUUCCGGAGCCGGGACCUCUUCUCUGAUCCUCUCCUCCACAGUGAGGAGCUCAACCCUGGUGAGCUCUACUAUCUCUUGCCUCUCAACCCUUAUAAUAACUACAAAACCACAACAAGAGCGGCGGCGACGCCCGGGGAGAGCGACGGCGGUAAUAGUAGUGUUGUUGCGACGCCGUAUCGGAUGUCUUCGUGCGCUGAGGGACAAGGGAAUCUGAUGAUGACCAUGAUGAUGAAGAAGGGGAGGGCUGCGCCGGAUCCUGAGGUGGUGCCGAGGUACAACAGUAGCGGGGUUUGGAAGGUGAAGCUCGUCAUAAGCCCUGAGCAGCUUUCUGAGAUUCUGUCCCAAGAGACUCGGACAGAAGCUCUAAUUGAGAGUGUACGGACGGUGGCCAAGUGUGGCAACAGCGGCGGCGGCGGCGGCUCCUCUGUGGCUAGCUCCGAUCAAUGUAGUGUGUCUAGUAGUUGGAAGGAAUAACCGUGAUCGUUCGUUGAUACUUGAUGGUCACAUUAAUCAAAGUCGAUGGAUGCUAGAUUUCAUUCUAGUUAUUCAUUUCUAGUGAUUUUCUCCAAUGCCCUCUUGGGGGUAUUCACGCGUUGUUAUCGCUGCAAUUGUCUCUACCUUUUAAGUACCUGGAUAUGAUACCACUUUGGAACGAGAUAUAUGUGUAUUGGCAAUAUCACUCCGAAAAGAAAAAAGUUAGUGUAAUAUAAUAAUGUUUUGAAAUAAAUAUAAUUAACAUUGGGAAAUUAACAGUUAUAAUUCCCAGUUAAAUUUGUAACAUAAGUUGGCAUGGGAUCAAGUGGACUUGUUGAGAAAAAAAUAAUAAUGAGAUUCAUCAUCA